UUUCAACGUACGCCACCACCACCACCACCACUGGUGUUUCAGUAGAAUACACAUCACGGGCCAUCCUCAUCGAAGUCACGGGAGAAAGCAAGUGCGAGUGAAAGCCAGAAAAGGCGAAAGAAGACGUGCUCCUUCGAAUCGAAUCCCGACGCAAGCGAGCACCACAGACCAGCCAGCGACGACGUGCAUGUACAAGGACGCAAGCAGACACAGUCAGACACUCACAAACACACACACACACACACACACACACAGCAAUCAUAAGCCAUGUCGUCUCUGCCGCGCGCGUCUGUGAGCUUUAAUAGGCCGGGCCACAUUCCGUUUGGUGCUGUGCAGGGAUACGCCCCGGGCGGCGUCCCAGCGUACAGCAACAAGCACGAUCACUACUUCUCCGGCGAGCGCAGCAUUGAGGGCAACAUCUUCUUCGGCUUCAAGUACCAGUGCGUCGAGUUUGCGCGCCGCUGGCUGCUGGCGCGUAAGGGGCUGGUGCUGCCCGACGUGAACUGGGCCUGCCACAUUUUCCAAUUGAAGGAGGUGCGAGACGCCGCCACGGCGGAGAGCUUCGCGGUAUUGCCAGUGCGCAACGGUACUGGGACGAAGCCGGAAGCCGACGCGCUUCUUGUCUACCCCUCCACCGCUACAAAUCCAGUUGGCCACGUCGGUGCCAUCACCGAGGUGGGCGACGACUACGUAUGUGUCGCGGAUCAGAACUACCGCUUCCACAAGUGGGAGUCCUCCUACGCGUAUAAGCUGAAGCUUGAUCACAGGGACGGCAUCUGGACCAUCAUCGAUGACAUUGACGCGAACGAAAUCGAGAUCCCGCUUGGGUGGGUGACGUUUCCUGGUCGCGCGAACCGGCCGGAAGGGGCGCCGCCGGUGGCGCUGCAUCCGUCACUGCACUUCAAUAAGCCACCGAAGCCAUAUCUGCUGCGCCGUAACUUUCUGCCCACGGAGUCCAAGGCGAACUGGCUUGACAUGAACAACCCGGCGGAGCGGCUAUUCGUGGAGGAGUUUGGCAUGGACGUCAGUCGCACCCGCCUGGAGGAGAAGGCCGUCAGCUACUACGAGUCAAAUCACGAGUUUCACCUGCGGUGCAUCGCGUACGGAACGCAGCUGCACGACAUCUUCAUGGAGGCAACCGCGCAGGUGAUCGAGAGCGAUGAGAAGCUCCGGCUCUUUGCCAUUCCUGAGGAGUUUUGGCCCCGCAUUCGCCACUCGUGGAAGUACCAGCAGACGUACAUUUCUGGUCGCUUCGACUUCGCCUUCAACAACGAGACGGGCGAGGUCAAGUGCUUCGAGUACAAUGCCGACAGCGCGUCGACGCUUCUAGAGUGCGGCCGCAUUCAGCAAAAGUGGGCCGAGUCGGUGGGGUUGGACAAGCAGGGCACUCGCGGCUCCGGCUUCGCGGUGGAGCGCAACCUCAAGAUGGCGUGGGCGAACAGCGGGGCGACUGGCCGCGUUCACUUCUGUGUUGAUGAGGAGAAGGAAGAGCAGUACACGGCCCUCUACUGCAUGCAGGCCGCUGAGGCGGCCGGGCUGGAGGGCAAGUUGUGCGUCCUGUUCGACGAGUUCCGCUUUGAUGAUAAUGGCCACGUUGUCGAUAGCGACGGCGUGCGCGUGCGCAAUGUGUGGAAGACGUGGAUGUGGGAGUCGGCCAUCACGGACUAUUACGCCGCCCGGGAGGAGCGGGGCGAGAACUGGAAGCCGUCCCCGAAGGAAAAGGUGCGCCUAUGCGACUUGCUCCUCGGCGAUGACUGGGAAAUUCUCUACUUCGAGCCGAUGUGGAAAGUCAUCCCGAGCAACAAGGCCAUCCUGCCCAUGAUCUACCACAACCACCCCGAACACCCCGCCAUCUUGAAGGCGGAGUACGAGUUGACGGACGAGCUGCGCAAGCACGGGUACGCCAAGAAGCCGAUUGUCGGCCGCGUGGGCAGCAACGUGACCAUCACCUCCGGCGACGGCGAGGUGCACGCUGAGUCUGGUGGCAACUAUGGGAAGCGCAACAUGAUUUACCAACAGCUGUUUGAGUUGAAGAAGCAGGACGACUACUACGCCAUCAUCGGCGGCUGGAUGAUCGGCGACGCCUUCAGCGGCACCGGCAUCCGCGAGGACAAGUCAGUCAUCACCGGCGUAGACAGCCCCUUCGCUGCCAUUCGCAUCAAGACCGACAAACUUCCGCACCCCGUGACGCACAAGGAUAUCGACGAGAUGGUCGAGGACGAGUAACGUCCGGGCUGCAAGCGCGAUGAACAACACACGCGCACUCUCCACAAACGUACACACAGUCACACGUAGGAACGAAAGCAAGAACAAACAAAAAUGGUGACUGCACGCUGUGGCGGGGGGGGAGGGGCACGGCAGCUCUGCGAUCCGCAGAAGUUUCUACUGAGCCGUACCACCGUGUGUAGACAGCCGCCACGACGGAUGCUCAGCGAUCGGGUGUGCUUCUUUGCUCGCGCGCACGCACGCCCGCAGCCACCUCAGCCACGUAGACGACUCCUUCUAUCUCUCUCUAUAUAUAUACAUAUAUGAUUUUUAUGUGCUUGCCGUCUGUGUUUUUCAUGUUGCUUCCCGUCGAUGAAGUGUUUUCUUUGCUGGGCGUUGAUUGAAGAAGGAUGCGAUGAGAGUGCCAUGGGCUGCACAGGUACCUGUGCAGGCCAUCGCACUCACUCUCUCGAUCCCUCGUUCUUCAAUCGGGCACGUGGAGUAGGAAGAAGCAGAAGAUGGCGCCCCUCUGCAGAUGGAGGAGGGGAGGCGAGUGCGCAUGGGACGGGGAGGGAUGGAGGAUCAUCCGUGUUGGUGAUCUACUUGUUUCGGGCGCGUGUGGGGCUCUCUUUUCCACGCCCGGGGGAAAAAACGGACGUCCCCGUGCGCAGCCUGGAGCGUGAAGGGGCUGAGCGGCAUCUCCUUGUCGUUGCCUCGCCUCCCGCUCCUUUGUUCCAACGGCGGAUAAUGCUGAUUGUGGUUUUUUAUUUUAUUAUUUCUUUUCCAGUUUAGCUCUCUUCACUCACUCGCUUUCUUGUUUUCUCUCCCCCCUUGGCGCUCUCUUGUGUGUAUUGCGCAGCAUCCUCCCUUCUUCUCCCCUCGCUGCGUUCAUGUGCUUGUGUGUGUGUGCCCCUCCUUUGUUGUUUUCUUUGUUCUGGGUUUCUUGAUGUGUGCCCGUCUGCCGCUUGCUGACCUUCCUCUCCUCUCUCCUCUCUUUCCAGGUGUAUUCGUUGUGCUGUCACUCGAUAGACGUGUCCAUACAUGCGCGCCCUCUACCGCUGUGUGCAUGCGCAUGUGUAUGACGGCGAUAACCGCAAUGGGGCCAACCCGCCAUCACCGCCAGUGCCACCAUCGCACUCUUUCAUCUCUCUUCCACCUUAUUUUAGCUCCCAAAUCUUCUUCCCCCUCCCCGACACACGCACACAUACACGAGGGUGCCCCACGCGCCACCCACCCCUUACGCAG
rnacentral:misc_RNA from 1 species